AGAGAUUGGGAAUAAUAAUCAAUAAUCUAUUGAUCAGAAUUAUUACAUUUUUUCGUUUAAGCUAUUAUUCAUUCGUCAGAACAGAUAUGCUGUGGCCCACAGAGCCAUCUGAUGCAGCCCACUAUAUCAAAACUAAAUGUUGUUUUUCUUAUUUUCUUUUUACUGAUAUUUUAUUUCAAAAAUUACUAAGGUAUCAUAUUUCUUUCUUAAAGUGCAGGCCACUUAAAUUACUUAAGUGGAUUGAAUUCUUCAAAAAGUUAAGCACCAUUGGUUUAGAACAUGACUGUAUAUUUCUAUUUUCUAAACAUCUUUGAAUAAUAAGCGAAAAUUCAAAUAUAAUUCUAUGCG
rnacentral:lncRNA from 1 species